rnacentral:rRNA from 1 species
GACGAACGCUGGCGGCGUGCCUAAUACAUGCAAGUAGAACGCACAGUUUAUACCGUAGCUUGCUACACCAUAGACUGUGAGUUGCGAACGGGUGAGUAACGCGUAGGUAACCUGCCUGGCAGCGGGGGAUAACUAUUGGAAACGAUAGCUAAUACCGCAUAAUAUUAAUUAUUGCAUGAUAAUUAAUUGAAAGGUGCAAUUGCACCACUACCAGAUGGACCUGCGUUGUAUUAGCUAGUAGGUGAGGUAACGGCUCACCUAGGCGACGAUACAUAGCCGACCUGAGAGGGUGAUCGGCCACACUGGGACUGAGACACGGCCCAGACUCCUCCGGGAGGCAGCAGUAGGGAAUCUUCGGCAAUGGACGAAAGUCUGACCGAGCAACGCCGCGUGAGUGAAGAAGGUUUUCGGAUCGUAAAGCUCUGUUGUAAGAGAAGAACGGGUGUGAGAGUGGAAAGUUCACACUGUGACGGUAUCUUACCAGAAAGGGACGGCUAACUACGUG